UGCAGGAGAGAUGACGCCCAUC
rnacentral:miRNA from 1 species